rnacentral:rRNA from 1 species
AAAUCCUGACUAGUAAUGGAAAGGAUGGAUUUAUUACAUACAAAAACCAAUGCAUUAAAUUGUUAAAGAUUUAAUGGAAAUUUAUUGGUGAUUCAUAAUAACUUUACGAAUCGUUUUGCCUUGUGCUGACGAUAGUUCAUUCAAAUUUCUGCCCUAUCAACUUUCGAUGGUAGUAUAGAGGACUACCAUGGUGGUAACGGGUAACGGAGAAUCAGGGUUUGAUUCCGGAGAAGGAGCCUGAGAAACGGCUACUACUUCUAAGGAAGGCAGCAGGGCGCAAAAUUACCCAACCCGACACGGGGAGGUAGUGACAAAAAAUAACAAUAUUUGUCAAUAUAUUUGUCAAAUAAUUGGAAUGAGUACAAUCUAAACCCCUUAACGAGUAACAAUUGGAGGGCAAGUCUGGUGCCAGCAGUCGCGGUAAUUCCAGCUCCAAUAGCAUAUAUUAAAGUUGUUGCAGUUAAAAAGCGCGUAGUUGGAUUUUAAGGUAUCACGUUUUGGUUUACUUAAAAGAGUAUAAUUUUAUUAAUAACUCUCCUUACUAGAUAUUCACAAUUAUUUUUAAUUAAAUAGUUGGUUUUAUUCGAAAGGAUAAAAUGCUUAAUAGGUCUGGGAAUUAAGAUGUGGUUUAUUUACGAGGCAACUUGUUGAAUAAAUCUGCAAAUAACUAGUAAAUAGGAUUCUGAUUCAUUUACUUUGAGUAAAUUAGAGUGUUCAAAGCAAGCUUAUUAUUUAAUAAGCAAUGAAUACUAUUAGCAUGGGAUAAUGGAACAAGACAUUGGGUCUAUUUUGUUGGUUUUUUAGAACUAAUGUAAUGAUUAAAAGGGAUAGUUGGGGGCAUUAGUAUUUAAUUGUCAGAGGUGAAAUUCUUGGAUUUAUGAAAGACUAACUUCUGCGAAAGCAUUUGUCAAAGAUGUUUUCAUUAAUCAAGAACGAAAGUUAGGGGAUCGAAGACGAUCAGAUACCGUCGUAGUCUUAACCAUAAACUAUGCCGACGGAAGUAUGGAAGUACAUUUUUUUGGAUAUUACUCUCUCAGCACCUUUUUACGAGAAAUCAUAAGUUUUUGGGUUCUGGGGGGAGUAUGGUCGCAAGGCUGAAACUUAAAGGAAUUGACGGAAGGGCACCACCAGGAGUGGAGCCUGCGGCUUAAUUUGACUCAACACGGGAAAACUUACCAGGUCCAGACACAGUUAGGAUUGACAGAUUGAGAGCUCUUUCUUGAUUCUGUGGUUGGUGGUGCAUGGCCGUUCUUAGUUGGUGGAGUGAUUUGUCUGGUUAAUUCCGAUAACGAACGAGACCUCAGCCUACUAAUUAGUUGUAAUAAUGAUAACGUUAUGAUUGGAAUGAGUCUCGAUUAGGAAACUCGUUUUCAUUUUUAUCAGAUUAUGGUAAAACAUAAUUUUUACUUCUUAGAGGGACACUUGGUGUUUAACCAAGGGAAGUUUGAGGCAAUAACAGGUCUGUGAUGCCCUUUAGAUGUUCUGGGCUGCACGCGCGCUACACUGAUACAAUCAACAAGCACAAAAGACCUCAUCCGAAAGGAUUGGGUAAACUUAUGAAAUUGUAUCGUGCUGGGGAUCGAUAAUUGCAAUUAUUUAUCGUGAACGAGGAAUUCCUAGUAAGCACAAGUCAACAGCUUGUGCUGAUUACGUCCCUGCCCUUUGUACACACCGCCCGCCGCUGCUACCGAUGUUUAAUGGUGCGGUGAAUUCUUAUGAUUGAGAACAGUUAUUGAUU